rnacentral:rRNA from 1 species
UACAGAGGUCCCAAGCGUUGUUCGGAUUCACUGGGCGUAAAGGGUGCGUAGGUGGCUGGGCAAGUUUGAUGUGAAAUCUCCGGGCUUAACCCGGAAAAUGCAUUGAAUACUGCUUAGCUGGAGGUUUGGAGGGGGGACUGGAAUUCUCGGUGUAGCAGUGAAAUGCGUAGAUAUCGAGAGGAACACCAGUGGCGAAGGCGGGUCCCUGGACGACACCUGACACUGAGGCACGAAAGCUAGGGGAGCAAACAGG